rnacentral:rRNA from 1 species
AGCGGCGGACGGGUGCGUAACACGUAGGAAUCUGCCCGGUAGUGGGGGAUAGCCCGGAGAAAUUCGGAUUAAUACCGCAUACGCCCUAAGGGGGAAAGCAGGGGAUCUUCGGACCUUGCGCUAUCGGAUGAGCCUGCGUCGGAUUAGCUUGUUGGUGGGGUAAAGGCCUACCAAGGCGACGAUCCGUAGCUGGUCUGAGAGGAUGAUCAGCCACACUGGGACUGAGACACGGCCCAGACUCCUACGGGAGGCAGCAGUGGGGAAUAUUGCACAAUGGGCGCAAGCCUGAUGCAGCUAUGCCGCGUGUGUGAAGAAGGCCUUAGGGUUGUAAAGCACUUUCAGUAGGGAGGAAAGGUUUACGGUUAAUACCCGUGAGCUGUGACGUUACCUACAGAAGAAGCACCGGCUAACUCCGUGCCAGCAGCCGCGGUAAUACGGAGGGUGCGGGCGUUAAUCGGAAUUACUGGGCGUAAAGCGUGCGUAGGCGGUGAUCUAAGUGGGAUGUGAAAGCCCCGGGCUCAACCUGGGAACUGCACCCCAAACUGGGUCGCUAGAGUACAGCAGAGGAGUGUGGAAUUUCCUGUGUAGCGGUGAAAUGCGUAGAUAUAGGAAGGAACACCAGUGGCGAAGGCGACACUCUGGGCUGAUACUGA